rnacentral:lncRNA from 1 species
GUGCUGGGAGGCUGGGAGAGUCCUGGCGUCCUGGCGUAGGAAGAAGGGCCCGUAUCUUGCAUCCACCCUUCACCCCCGGCCUUCCCACAUCCACUUCCAGCCCAAACAAACAUCCAGACUGUGAGGGUGACAGUGUGGUCAAGGGCAGCCUGCACUCUUGUAGGGUCCCCAAGCCAGCUCUUUUUUGACUGUUGUUACCUGUUGACCCUUCUGCCUCCACCACUGGUCUGGCUGAUCCCUGAGGGCACGGCAGGGCACAUCCAGGUGUGUGCAUUGAGGAUGUUACCUGGCCCCAGUCGGUGCUUAGUGAAUGUUUUUGAACAAGGGAUUUG